ACAAAGAGAGGCAAAGCCGCGAGGUGGAGCAAAUCUCAAAAAGCCGUCCCAGUUCGGAUUGCAGGCUGCAACCCGCCUGCAUGAAGUUGGAAUCGCUAGUAAUCGCGGAUCAGAAUGCCGCGGUGAAUACGUUCCCGGGUCUUGUACACACCGCCCGUCACACCAUGGGAGUCGGAAAUGCCCGAAGUCGGUGACCCAACCGCAAGGAGGGAGCCGCCGAAGGCAGGUCCGGUAACUGGGGUGAAGUCGUAACAAGGUACC
rnacentral:rRNA from 1 species